UUCUGUUGCCGUCCUGAGAUGGGUCCCAAAUGGACAUCUCUUUCUUCCCUUUCCCGUUUUUCCCCUGGGUCCUGUUGAUCCCAGACCUUCAGACUAUUGUCCUAACAUGUGCUUUCCCAACAGCUACUGAUGCAUGGUGUUAGGCUCUGCAGCUCCUCUGUAAAAGCCCUUUCCUUCCUUGUCAGGCCCAGGCUUGCCUCUGGUUCGGGUGUCCUUGAUGGCUGCUGUGGAGUUCUCUUUCACCCAACAGAACCUGCUUCCUGUUUCGAGAGGUCGUGGGCACUUUUGGCAUCAUACUCAUGUGGACAUACCCACAUAUAGAUGCACAUCCAUACACAUAACUUUUGUAGGAUCAUGGAUCCUCAAGCAGUGAUUAAUGUGCUGGUGAGAAGACUCAACAGGCACUUGCCUCCAUGUCUGAACCUGAGACUGGUCUCUGAGACUGACAGGACGGAAGGACAGAAACACUUCCACAACUUGUUCUCCAACUGCCACGG